ensembl:lncRNA
CUGCUCUUGGUGUAUUUGUUCAGCACCAUGGACAUGUUGACAACACUGAGCAGGUCACUUGGGAGAGAGAACGGAGAGCACAGAGACAGCAGAGAGGAGGAGAAGGACGCUGGCCUUCAGACUCCUGGAAAAUGUGCCAACAUCGUGUGGAAAAGUUUCACUUCAACAAUACCAGGGUGCACAGGAUGAAGCACAGCAACAGAGCAGGCCGGUACAACAGUUUUCCUGGGAGGCAGAGGCAGCCUUGACGAAUCACCAUCCAGAGAAAUGUGUUUCUUAGGCUCUCUCAUUUUGGAAAUCCUCCGACUUCAGAAGUCAUACUGAUGAUGACACAGAGAAAGGGUGCAAUUCUUAUAGAAGCCUCUUUUGAUAUACUUCAUAAAAAUCAAGUCUCACCAAUUCGGAAGUUUGCUGAAAUCAACACAACUAGUAGUCUGCAACUCGGCUCUCUACUGUUGCUACCUAUUGGUUUCCACGCCCUCAGCCUUCUAAUCAUCUGGGAAUGCCCUUGGCAUGGCAGGAUAGCAAAUCAUGUACGAGACCUGGUCUAAGAUAUGUUCCAUCUCGAAGAAGAAAUGUGUAGCUGUUUAAUCUCCCGCACAAGCAGCAUUGCACAGUACACAAAGCAGCAGCACCCAGCAAACAGGCCUCUAGUUUAUUAAUGGGUCCACACAAUCUCUGUCCUAGUCCAGCAGAACAAAGGCUUUCACUAGUCAGCUGUUCGAAAGGUAGAGCAGAAAGGAUUUAGCCGUGCCAAACUCCAGCAUACAGAAAGGCCUGAAAGGCCUUCUUAUUCAUAUGCACUCUCAGUGUUUCCAGUCAGACAUCAACCCUAUUCCCCAGACCAUCAAGGAGCACAACUCACAGAGACUCCCAGCCUGGAUAGGCCUAGCUUGGUUACUGGGUAAAGAGAGGAGACACAUCUGUCCCCCAUGGCUUCACACCAUUGUAACUGUCAGUUUCUAGAUAUCCCCACUAUACUAUGAUUCUGUGGGGACGGAGACUGAGGACUGCCAGGAUCUAGAAUGGUGCCAGGAGACCCCUGAACAGCAGCGUGUCCCUUCCUAGCCCCUAGAUUAGGGCAGAAGCCACACCCAAACACCCGUUUUCACAGAGAGGUCCUUUAUCAAGCAAGGAAGAAAAGUUAAAGUGGCUGCUUUCUGAUUCAAGCAGAAAACAGCAGCUUUCAGGUGUAAUUUUUAAGAAAAAAAAAAGGGGGGGUGAUUAGAAUGGGCUAGAAUAUAGUGGUGUAUUUUGAUUGGGCAUGUUAAUUAGAUGGAUAGGGUUUUGACUGCUGGACUUUAUUUAUUCUUUUUAUAGCUGGACCUUGGUAGUCAGCUUCAGGUGAAGGAAAUGGCUAAAUAAGGGAAUGGACCUUGGGGCUAGCAUUAGGAAUGUAAUCUUAGGGUUUUUAGCAAAGCAGAGAGAAUAGGAGAAAGGGGUAAGGCCAUGUUUGCUAGGCAUGAGCUGUGCCAGAGUAAGGCAAGCUAGAAUCCCUUCAGUGCCCCAUAGGCAACAUCCAUUUUUUUUUUUUUUUAAAGAGUUAACGUCAAACCAGGGAAAUCUGAAGACAACAGGAACAGCAUAGGAAGGAAGGGCUGGACAACUUAGGUUUUCAGCUUCUAACUCCAGGACCUCUAACUCUUGCCUGCUAAGCAAAGGGGAAACUAGGUUACUAUCAUUAAAUAAGGCUC